GACGAACGCUGGCGGCGUGCUUAACACAUGCAAGUCGAACGGGCCUUGUCCCCUUUUUUUUUGGGGGUGGGGUUAGUGGCGAACGGGUGAGUAACACGUGAGUAACCUGCCCCUCACUUCUGGAUAACCGCUUGAAAGGGUGGCUAAUACGGGGUGUUCUGGCCUGCUCGCAUGGGUGGGUUUGGAAAGAUUCGACCGGUUUUGGUUGUUUUGGUGGGGGAUGGGCUCGCGGCCUAUCAGCUUGUUGGUGGGGUGAUGGCCUGCCAAGGCUUUGACGGGUAGCCGGCCUGAGAGGGUGGGCGGUCACCCUGGGACUGAGACACGGCCCAGACUCCUACGGGAGGCAGCAGUGGGGAAUAUUGCACAAUGGGCGCAAGCCUGAUGCAGCGACGCCGCGUGAGGGAUGGAGGCCUUCGGGUUGUGAACCUCUUUCGCCAGUGAAGAAGGUCCUGCUCUUUGUGGUGGGGUUGACGGUAGCUGGGUUAAUGAAGCGCCGGCUAACUACGUG
rnacentral:rRNA from 1 species